UACAGAGGUCUCGAGCGUUAGGCGGAAUCACUGGGCUUAAAGCGUGUGUAGGCGGGUCGUUAAGUACCUUGUGAAAUCCCAUGGCUCAACCAUGGAACUGCUUGGUAUACUGGCGAUCUUGUGCAACCUAGGGGCGAGCGGAACAGAUGGUGGAGCGGUGAAAUGCGUAGAUAUCAUCUGGAACGCCAAUGGUGAAAACAGCUCGCUGGGGGUUUGCAGACGCUGAGACACGAAAGCCAGGGGAGCGAACGGG
rnacentral:rRNA from 2 species